AAUCCGUGAUGAGGGCAUUUGGUUUGAUAACCCUUAAAGCGCUCCCAAGCUUCACAGAAGCUUUCAUUUUGCUUCAAAGUGAAUCCGGAUAUCUCAUUCCGGAGUCU
rfam:Arabidopsis thaliana chromosome 2, complete sequence.